rnacentral:rRNA from 1 species
CUGUACUUGGUGUUACUGCGAAGGGGGGACGGAGAAGGCUAUGUUGGCCGGGCGACGGUUGUCCCGGUUUAAGCGUGUAGGCUGGUUUUCCAGGCAAAUCCGGAAAACUAAGGCUGAGGCGUGAUGACGAGGCACUACGGUGCUGAAGCAACAAAUGCCCUGCUUCCAGGAAAAGCCUCUAAGCAUCAGGUAACAUCAAAUCGUACCCCAAACCGACACAGGUGGUCAGGUAGAGAAUACCAAGGCGCUUGAGAGAACUCGGGUGAAGGAACUAGGCAAAAUGGUGCCGUAACUUCGGGAGAAGGCACGCUGAUAUGUAGGUGAAGCGACUUGCUCGUGGAGCUGAAAUCAGUCGAAGAUACCAGCUGGCUGCAACUGUUUAUUAAAAACACAGCACUGUGCAAACACGAAAGUGGACGUAUACGGUGUGACGCCUGCCCGGUGCCGGAAGGUUAAUUGAUGGGGUCAGCGCAAGCGAAGCUCUUGAUCGAAGCCCCGGUAAACGGCGGCCGUAACUAUAACGGUCCUAAGGUAGCGAAAUUCCUUGUCGGGUAAGUUCCGACCUGCACGAAUGGCGUAAUGAUGGCCAGGCUGUCUCCACCCGAGACUCAGUGAAAUUGAACUCGCUGUGAAGAUGCAGUGUACCCGCGGCAAGACGGAAAGACCCCGUGAACCUUUACUAUAGCUUGACACUGAACAUUGAGCCUUGAUGUGUAGGAUAGGUGGGAGGCUUUGAAGUGUGGACGCCAGUCUGCAUGGAGCCGACCUUGAAAUACCACCCUUUAAUGUUUGAUGUUCUAACGUUGACCCGUGAUCCGGGUUGCGGACAGUGUCUGGUGGGUAGUUUGACUGGGGCGGUCUCCUCCUAAAGAGUAACGGAGGAGCACGAAGGUUGGCUAAUCCUGGUCGGACAUCAGGAGGUUAGUGCAAUGGCAUAAGCCAGCUUGACUGCGAGCGUGACGGCGCGAGCAGGUGCGAAAGCAGGUCAUAGUGAUCCGGUGGUUCUGAAUGGAAGGGCCAUCGCUCAACGGAUAAAAGGUACUCCGGGGAUAACAGGCUGAUACCGCCCAAGAGUUCAUAUCGACGGCGGUGUUUGGCACCUCGAUGUCGGCUCAUCACAUCCUGGGGCUGAAGUAGGUCCCAAGGGUAUGGCUGUUCGCCAUUUAAAGUGGUACGCGAGCUGGGUUUAGAACGUCGUGAGACAGUUCGGUCCCUAUCUGCCGUGGGCGCUGGAGAACUGAGGGGGGCUGCUCCUAGUACGAGAGGACCGGAGUGGACGCAUCACUGGUGUUCGGGUUGUCAUGCCAAUGGCACUGCCCGGUAGCUAAAUGCGGAAGAGAUAAGUGCUGAAAGCAUCUAAGCACGAAACUUGCCCCGAGAUGAGUUCUCCCUGACUCCUUGAGAGUCCUGAAGGAACGUUGAAGACGACGACGUUGAUAGGCCGGGUGUGUAAGCGCAGCGAUGCGUUGAGCUAACCGGUACUAAUGAACCGUGAGG